rnacentral:rRNA from 1 species
ACUCAAAGGAAUAGACGGGGGCCCGCACAAGCGGAGGAGCAUGUGGUUUAAUUCGAUGAUACGCGAGGAACCUUACCCGGGCUUGAAAGUUAGUGAAUGACUCAGAAAAGGGUCAGUCAGCAAUGACACGAAACUAGGUGCUGCAUGGCUGUCGUCAGCUCGUGCCGUGAGGUGUUAGGUUAAGUCCUGCAACGAGCGCAACCCCUACUAUUAGUUGCCAUCAGGUUAUGCUGGGGACUCUAAUAGGACUGCCCGCGCAAGCGGUGAGGAAGGUGGGGAUGACGUCAAGUCAGCACGGCCCUUACGUCCGGGGCUACACACGUGCUACAAUGGUAGGUACAAUGGGCAGCCACAUGGCAACAUGGAGCUAAUCCUUAAAACCUAUCUCAGUUCGGAUUGAGGUCUGCAACUCGACCUCAUGAAGCUGGAUUCGCUAGUAAUCGUACAUCAGCAAUGGUACGGUGAAUACGUUCCCGGGCCUUGUACACACCGCCCGU